rnacentral:rRNA from 1 species
UACGUAGGUGGCAAGCGUUGUCCGGAAUUAUUGGGCGUAAAGCGCGCGCAGGCGGCCUCUUAAGUCAGAUGUGAAAGCCCCGGGCUCAACCUGGGAAUGGCAUUUGAGACUGCUCUGCUCGGGUGCGGAAGAGGGAAGCGGAAUUUCCGGUGUAGCGGUGAAAUGCGUAGAUAUCGGAAGGAACACCAGUGGCGAAAGCGGCUUCCUGGUCCGACACCGACGGUUCAGGCACGAAAGCGUGGGGAGCAAACAGG